rnacentral:rRNA from 1 species
AUUCCCGUACUUCUUACAAUUGCGAUGGGGGGACGGAGAAGGCUAGGUGGGCCUGGCGACGGUUGUCCAGGUUCAAGUGCGUAGGCUGAAGAGUUAGGUAAAUCCGGCUCUCUUUAAGGCUGAGACACGACGUCGAGCACCUACGGGUGUGAAGUCAUUGAUGCCAUGCUUCCAGGAAAAGCCUCUAAGCUUCAGAUUGUAAGGAAUCGUACCCCAAACCGAC